GGGAAUCUUCCACAAUGGGCGAAAGCCUGAUGGAGCAACGCCGCGUGUGUGAUGAAGGCUUUCGGGUCGUAAAGCACUGUUGUAUGGGAAGAACAGCUAUAAUAGGAAAUGAUUUUAGUUUGACGGUACCCUACCAGAAAGGGACGGCUAAAUACGUGCCAGCAGCCGCGGUAAUAA
rnacentral:rRNA from 1 species